rnacentral:rRNA from 1 species
GACGAACGCUGGCGGCGUGCCUAAUACAUGCAAGUCGAGCGGGCUAGCGUUUUCUUCGGAAAACGCCAGCUAGCGGCGGACGGGUGAGUAACACGUGGGUAACCUGCCCAUAAGACUGGGAUAACAUCCGGAAACGGAUGCUAAUACCGGAUACACAACUUGAUCGCAUGGCCGAGUUGGGAAAGGCGGAGCAAUCUGCCACUUAUGGAUGGACCUGCGGCGCAUUAGCUAGUUGGUGAGGUAACGGCUCACCAAGGCGACGAUGCGUAGCCGACCUGAGAGGGUGAUCGGCCACACUGGGACUGAGACACGGCCCAGACUCCUACGGGAGGCAGCAGUAGGGAAUCUUCCGCAAUGGACGAAAGUCUGACGGAGCAACGCCGCGUGAGUGAUGAAGGUUUUCGGAUCGUAAAGCUCUGUUGCCAGGGAAGAACGCUUAGGAGAGUAACUGCUCUUAAGGUGACGGUACCUGAGAAGAAAGCCCCGGCUAACUACGUGCCAGCAGCCGCAGUAACAC